rnacentral:rRNA from 1 species
UACGAAGGGUGCAAGCGUUACUCGGAAUUACUGGGCGUAAAGGGUGCGUAGGUGGUUGUUUAAGUCUGCUGUGAAAGCCCCGGGCUCAACCUGGGAAUGGCAGUGGAUACUGGACAGCUAGAGUGCGGUAGAGGGUAGUGGAAUUCCCGGUGUAGCAGUGAAAUGCGUAGAGAUCGGGAGGAACACCAGUGGCGAAGGCGGGUCUCUGGGCCGUAACUGACGCUGAGGAGCGAAAGCGUGGGGAGCGAACAGG